rnacentral:misc_RNA from 1 species
UAUCUCUAUUGUCAUUCUAUCUCCGUAGUGAUUCCACGACUCCACCUUGUGUUGAAUCAAUGGGAUGCUACUAAGUUGAAUCAAUGGCCAAAGAUUGGAGAUGCUGAGCAUGUUGAAUCAAAGAUGGUUCUAAAAUUUGAACCCAUAUUAGAUAGCGAAGGUGGUGGAGAAGCAUGGGCUGGAGACAUGCAUGUCUCUAAAUCUG